UAUAUCUUCUUCAAUUUCCUUCAUAAGCUUUCUAUAGUUUUCAGCAUACAUAUCUUUUACAUUUUUGGUUAGGUUUAUUCCUAGGUAUUUUAUGAUUCUUGGUGCAAUGGUGAAUGGGAUCAGUUAAUUUUUUUCUAUUUCAGUUGUCUUCAUUGU